rnacentral:tRNA from 1 species
CGUAGUUGCGGUAGGGGUUCUGACCGUAGGGCCGGUUCCAAGCCGGUUCGGCCAUGACCACGCCGUCCGCGUGACGUUCCCGGAACUGGGC